GCGGAGGAAAAGAAACCAACAGGGAUUGCCUCAGUAACGGCGAGUGAAGCGGCAACAGCUCAAAUUUGAAAUCUGGCUCCUUCGGGGCCCGAGUUGUAAUUUGCAGAGGAUGCUUCGGGUACGGGUUCCUUCCGAGUUCCCUGGAACGGGACGCCAUAGAGGGUGAGAGCCCCGUCUGGUAGGACACCCAGCCCGUGUGAAGCUCCCUCGACGAGUCGAGUAGUUUGGGAAUGCUGCUCUAACGGGAGGUAUACUCCUUCCAAGGCUAAAUACCGGCUGGAGACCGAUAGCGCACAAGUAGAGUGAUCGAAAGAUGAAAAGCACUUUGAAAAGAGAGUCAAAUAGCACGUGAAAUUGUUGAAAGGGAAGCGCUCGCUACCAGACAUGGGUUCGGCGGUUCAACCGGGGCCACGCCCCGGGGCACUCCGCCGGCCCAGGCCAGCAUCAGCUUUCCGUCGGGGGCAAAGGCGUCGGGAAUGUGGCUCUCCUUCGGGGGAGUGUUAUAGCCCGGCGUGUCAUACCCUUCGGGGGGCUGAGGUACGCGCUUCUGCAAGGAUGCUGGCGUAAUGGUAGCUAGUGACCCGUCUUGAAACACGGACCAAGGAGUCAACCUUAUGUGCGAGUGCCCGGGCGUAAAACCCCAGCGCGGAAUGAAAGUGAACGUAGGUGAGAGCUUCGGCGCAUCACCGACCGAUCCUGAUGUCCUCGGACGGAUUUGAGUGAGAGCAUAUAGGGUUGGACCCGAAAGAAGAUGAACUAUGCGUGUUUAGGGUGAAUCCAGAGGAAACUCUGGUGGAGGCUCGCAGCGGUUCUGACGUGCAAAUCGA
rnacentral:misc_RNA from 1 species